AUUGAACGCUGGCGGCAUGCUUUACACAUGCAAGUCGAACGGUAACAGGUUAAGCUGACGAGUGGCGAACGGGUGAGUAAUGCAUCGGAACGUGCCCGGUCGUGGGGGAUAACGCAGCGAAAGCUGCGCUAAUACCGCAUACGAUCUGAGGAUGAAAGCGGGGGGACCGUAAGGCCUCGCGCGAUCGGAGCGGCCGAUGUCAGAUUAGGUAGUUGGUGGGGUAAAGGCUCACCAAGCCGACGAUCUGUAGCUGGUCUGAGAGGACGACCAGCCACACUGGGACUGAGACACGGCCCAGACUCCUACGGGAGGCAGCAGUGGGGAAUUUUGGACAAUGGGCGCAAGCCUGAUCCAGCAAUGCCGCGUGCAGGAAGAAGGCCUUCGGGUUGUAACUGCUUUGUACGGAGCGAAAAGGACUCUCUCUAAUACAGGGGCUCAUGACGGUACCGUAAGAAUAAGCACCGGCUAACUACGUGCCAGCAGCCGCGU
rnacentral:rRNA from 1 species